rnacentral:lncRNA from 1 species
AAAGGCUUUUACAUCAAAUAUUGAUAGUGAUAAUAACGAUUAACACAUGUUGAGCACUUACCAUGUCUCAAGCACUGCUCUAGAGCUUUCCAUGAAAGAAUCCCUCUAAUCUUCAGAACAAUCCUGUGAGAACUGGCUGAAGUUUACUUUUUGGUACUCCAGAGACCUAGCUUCUUCUUGCCUUCUUCCAAUGUGGUCUAUUUAAUCUCCUGUCGUGUGGGAAAUUAUGUUCAAAAUCUCCAUGAUCCUCUGUCCGUAGUAAGUUAUGCAUGUAGUGACAAGUACAUGCCACAAGGUCUUGAGAUUAUAUCUGCAAUGUGUUGCUGCUGGCUGUUGAUCAAGAUAGGCUGGAAGAAAAACAUUAUUUUCAGGUGUGAAAAACCGUCACCUUUAUCAAAUAAUUCUUCUUGCAUUUUUCCCAAGACGUUGUAGCCUAUUUAAACUUGGGAGGUUAAGUUUGUAGCAUUCAUUAUGACUGAAAAUUUAGUUCACACAAUCAUGAUGCUCUCUUUAUUAGGUGUUACCGUUAAACAAUAUUAAAAUAAA